rnacentral:rRNA from 1 species
AGUGAACGCUGGCGGUAGGCCUAACACAUGCAAGUCGAACGGCAGCACAGUAAGAGCUUGCUCUUACGGGUGGCGAGUGGCGGACGGGUGAGGAAUACAUCGGAAUCUACUUUUUCGUGGGGGAUAACGUAGGGAAACUUACGCUAAUACCGCAUACGACCUACGGGUGAAAGCAGGGGAUCUUCGGACCUUGCGCGAUUGAAUGAGCCGAUGUCGGAUUAGCUAGUUGGCGGGGUAAAGGCCCACCAAGGCGACGAUCCGUAGCUGGUCUGAGAGGAUGAUCAGCCACACUGGAACUGAGACACGGCCCAGACUCCUACGGGAGGCAGCAGUGGGGAAUAUUGGACAAUGGGCGCAAGCCUGAUCCAGCCAUACCGCGUGGGUGAAGAAGGCCUUCGGGUUGUAAAGCCCUUUUGUUGGGAAAGAAAAGCAGCAGGUUAAUACCCCGCUGUUCUGACGGUACCCAAAGAAUAAGCACCGGCUAACUUUGUG